rnacentral:rRNA from 1 species
AACGAACGCUGGCGGCAGGCUUAACACAUGCAAGUCGAGCGCAGCCUUCGGGGUGAGCGGCAGACGGGUGAGUAACGCGUGGGAACGUACCCUUUCCUACGGAGUAGCUCCGGGAAACUGGAAUUAAUACCGUAUACGCCCUUAGGGGGAAAGAUUUAUCGGGGAAGGAUCGGCCCGCGUUGGAUUAGCUAGUUGGUGGGGUAAAGGCCUACCAAGGCGACGAUCCAUAGCUGGUCUGAGAGGAUGAUCAGCCACAUUGGGACUGAGACACGGCCCAAACUCCUACGGGAGGCAACAGUGGGGAAGAUUGGACAAUGGGCGCAAGCCUGAUCCAGCCAUGCCGCGUGAGUGAUGAAGGCCUUAGGGUUGUAAAGCUCUUUCAGUAGGGAAGAUAAUGACGGUACCUACAGAAGAAGCCCCGGCUAACUUCGUGCCAGCCGCCGCCGUAA